AGUGAGAGGAAGAGCUCAAGUUGGAACCUGUUUGGCCUAGCUAAACCGGAUUGUAUACUGUAGAAGUGUUUUCCAGGCAAGCCGAGUAAAUAAGUCCUUUGGAACAGGGCAUCAUAGAGGGUGAGAAUCCCGUCUUUGGCUUGAGCAUUUGCCUUUUGUGAUACGCUUUCAAAGAGUCGAGUUGU
rnacentral:rRNA from 1 species